CCCGUGGUCCCGAGAAAAAAGAGAAGUGCUUCUGUGGGCGCUCACCUCCGUCACAGAUGUAGUCCGUCACAGCCAAUCAGAGAGCAGCACUGCCCAAAUAGAACUCCCAGGAGGAGCAGCGUGUCACACAUGUGAUGUCAUAACCACUGUCCACCAGAGAGCAGCACUCAGCAGAAAUAACACGGCUCCUGCUCAUUCUCCAUCAGUGAGUGGCUGAUGCUGGACAUUGUAGGAACCCGGGAAUGCAGAUUCAUACACAGGAUUGGUUAGUGUCGUUCCAUGUACAUUUCUAUAAUAAACAUGGAAAUCAUCUUUCUUUGCUUUUGUUUUUCUAUCUUAGAUGCAGUAUUUCCAGGAUAUGGAGUCACACUUCCAGACUUACAGCAAGAAGUUGGAUGAAGACAUAACCCCUGGAAUCACGCACAUACACAGACACAUUUGCCCAAAUUAUAGAGGUAACCUCCUUUAGUAUGCCCAGAGGAAGGGCAAUACAGUAGCCAUGGAUUCCCUACAGGUUUCCUCCCCUCUGGAGGUUUUUCCUGUCCUGAGUAUUAGUUACUGUACGCUCUUUGUGAGUGAUGGGAGGUUACAAAAAACCCCUACACAAACAUUGUAAUAAAUAAUAAAUAAAGUUUCCCCUUUUUUAACCUUUC